rnacentral:lncRNA from 1 species
CUCCCACCUCAGCUUCCUGAGUAGCUGGAACUGUAGGUGUGCACCACCACACCUGGCUAAAGAUGGAGUCUUGCUAUCUUGCCCAAGCUGGUCUCCAUCCUCCUGCCUCAGCCUCCCAAAGCGCUGGGAUUACAGGUAUGAGCCACUGUACCUGGCCUCUCGAUUUUAUUCUUGACUUUAGUAAUUUGUCUUCUCUCUUUUUUAUUGGUCGGUCUAGCUAAAGGUUUAGAAAUGUGGUUGAUCUUUUAAAAUAAUCUGUUUUUACUUUUAUUGAUUUUCCUUGAUUGUUUUUCUAUUCUGUUUUAUUUAUUUCUGCUUUAAUCUUUUUUAUUUCCUUUCUGCUUACUUUGGAUUUUGCUUGCUCUUUUUUUUUUUUUUUUUUUUUUUUCUGUUUCUUAAGUGGGAGUUUCAAUUCUUGAUUUGAGAUCCUUCUUCUUUUUAAAUAUAGGUGGGGUUUUUUUGUUUUUGUUUUGAAAUGAGUCUUGCUAUGUUGUCCAAGCUGGUCUCAAACUUCUGGGCUCAGAUGAUCCUCCUGCCUCAGCUUUCCAAGUAGCUGCGACUACAGGCAUGAGCCACCAUGUCUGGCUAAUAUAGGUGUUUACAGCUGUACAUUUCCCUCUAAGUACUGUUUUCACUGCAUCCCGUAAAUUUCUGUAUAUUGUGUUUUCAUUUUCAUUUAUUUCAAGUACUGUUAAAUUUUCCUUCUGAUUUCUUCUUUGACCCAUUGGUAUUUAGGAGUUGUUUAAUUUCCACAUAUUUAUGAAUUUCUCAAAUUUCCUUCUAUUAUCGAUUUCUAAUUUCAUUCCAUUUUGAUCACAGAACAUCCACUUUGUGUGAUAUCAGUCCUUUUAAUUGUAUUGAGGCUUGUUUUAUGGGUUAGCAUUUGAUGUGUCCUGCAAAUGUUUCACACGCUCUUCAGAAGACGGUGUGCUCUGUCAUUGGGUGUUGUGCGGGAGUCUGUAGGCGUAGCUGGUUUGGAGUGUUGCUCAGCCUUCUGUUUCCUUGCUGCUCUUCUGCCUCGCUGUCCCAUCCAUUAUUGAAAGCUGGGUAUUGACGUCUUCAACUACUUUUGUUAAGUUGUCUGUUCCUGCCUUCAGUGGUAUCAGUUUUUGCUUCGUGUGUUUUUGUGCUCAGUUGUUUGGUACGUUAUGUUUAUAAUGGUGAAUAUUACUGAUGGAUUGAUUUUUUUGUCAUUACAAAGUGUCCUUUUUUGUCUUAAAGUCAACAACUGCUUAUCUUAAAGCGGGGAGGUCCAAUCUUUUGGCUUCCCUGGGCCACUUUAGAAGAAGAAUUGUCUUGGGCUAUACAUAAAAUAUACUAAUGAUAGCUGAUGAGCUAAAAAAAAAAAAAAAAAA